rnacentral:sRNA from 1 species
GUGCGGCCUAAAUUUUCGGGCAGCGUCCAUGCAGUCACAAUACUAAAAAAACAGGCGCUGCCAAGAUUUCCCUGGUGUUGGCGCAGUAUUCGCGCACCCCGGUUUAGCC